rnacentral:rRNA from 1 species
AAACUUUCAACAACGGAUCUCUUGGUUCUGGCAUCCAUGAAGAACGCACCGAAAUGCGAUAAGUAGUGUGAAUUGCAGAAUUCAGUGAAUCAUCGAAUCUUUGAACGCACAUUGCGCCCUAUGGUAUUCCGUAGGGCAUGCCUGUUCGAGCGUCAUUUA